ACGAACGCUGGCGGCGUGCUUAACCCCUGCCAGUCGUACGGUAAGGCCCUUUCGGGGGUACACGAGUGGCGAACGGGUGAGUAACACGUGAGUAACCUGCCCACAACUUUGGGAUAACGCUAGGAAACUGGUGCUAAUACUGGAUAUGUGCUCCUGCUGCAUGGUGGGGGUUGGAAAGCUCCGGCGGUUGUGGAUGGACUCGCGGCCUAUCAGCUUGUUGGUGGGGUAGUGGCCUACCAAGGCGGCGACGGGUAGCCGGCCUGAGAGGGUGACCGGCCACAUUGGGACUGAGAUACGGCCCAGACUCCUACGGGAGGCAGCAGUGGGGAAUAUUGCACAAUGGGCGCAAGCCUGAUGCAGCAACGCCGCGUGCGGGAUGACGGCCUUCGGGUUGUAAACCGCGUUCAGCAGGGACGAAGCUUUUUGUGACGGUACCUGCAGAAGAAGCACCGGCUAACUACGUG
rnacentral:rRNA from 1 species